AGUGAACGCUGGCGGUAGACCUAACACAUGCAAGUCGAACGGCAGCACAGUAAGAGCUUGCUCUUACGGGUGGCGAGUGGCGGACGGGUGAGGAAUACAUCGGAAUCUACUUUUUCGUGGGGGAUAACGUAGGGAAACUUACGCUAAUACCGCAUACGACCUACGGGUGAAAGCAGGGGAUCUUCGGACCUUGCGCGAUUGAAUGAGCCGAUGUCGGAUUAGCUAGUUGGCGGGGUAAAGGCCCACCAAGGCGACGAUCCGUAGCUGGUCUGAGAGGAUGAUAAGCCACACUGGAACUGAGACACGGUCCAGACUCCUACGGGAGGCAGCAGUGGGGAAUAUUGGACAAUGGGCGCAAGCCUGAUCCAGCCAUACCGCGUGGGUGAAGAAGGCCUUCGGGUUGUAAAGCCCUUUUGUUGGGAAAGAAAAGCAGCAGGUUAAUACCCCGCUGUUCUGACGGUACCCAAAGAAUAAGCACCGGCUAACUUCGUG
rnacentral:rRNA from 1 species